AGGCAGGCUUCAGGAGUAGGAUGUACUAGUGUGGUCACCCAGGUUUGAUGCCAGUUGGAGUUCCAGCCCAGCCAGUUGGAGGUAUGAAUUGUGGAGUUCUUCGGAGGAGGGCUGAGUCCUUAAUUUAUGUCACAAGUCACCCUCUGCAGCUUUGCCGCCAUGCUUUAGUAAGAUUUUUAUGACCUCCAUUUAAGUCCUUUUAUAAUCUGGAAAGGCUCCUUUCAUUAAAUUAAAAAAAAAAAAAAACAUUGAAGGACACUUUUAAUAUUCUAGGAGAAAGUAAGGUGAUCAUAAUCUCUCUUCUAGGAAAUGAGGUGGUUGGGCAAAUGUAUGCCAGCUCUUGUUAAAUCAAGGUGUUUGCAGUGACCUGGUCUCCUUCCUUGCCUGAGCAUGGAGAAGAUGUAAUCUCUGUUGCUAUAAGCUUAACACUUAUUCCCUGCUGUCCUCUACUGGUUCUCUUAGGAUGAAACACAUCUUAGCAACCCUUAGUUCUUCUCCCUUUAGAAUUAAACCAAUACCAUAAGCAAUAAUGAAAUCUCUUGUAUCAAAUUCACUUUUUAAAAGGCUGUCUUGUCUCAGACAUCAUCCAUUGGAGACUAUUCCAGGUAUUUUCACAUUGGCUUGGUUCCUACAGUCUGUCUUUUAAGUUUUUUUCAGAUUUAUUUUAUUUUGCAUGUAUGAGUAUUUUGUCUGCAUGUAUGUAUGCCAUAUCACGUGUGUGCCUGGUGCCUGAGGAUGUCAGAAGAGGGUGUCAUAGCCUCUGGAACUGGGGUUAGGAAUAGUUGUGAGCUCACGUGUGGGAGCUGAGAAUCAAACCCAGGUCGUCUGC
rnacentral:lncRNA from 1 species